AUGGUACUGCUGAAGAUCAUGAUCACGGAGAAAAGUCAGAGUGCUCAGUGCCAACCCAAGGGAUUCUUUCCAGAGACGUACCCGUUGGAUACCAAAAUUAGUUUGGAUAAUCUGUUCAACCAUUCUUGAUAAGUUAUCUGAAUAAUAAAAAAACUCAACAGAGGAGGGACGACUGGAGUGAGCACUGGCCUGGGAGUCUGAAGAUUGUGCCUUCAGACCUACUUCGUCACUUACUAGCUGGCGACUUUGGUCAGUCAUCUAGUUUUUCCGGGCCUUAUGUUCCUUACAUGUGACUACUAAAAGGCUACUAGAUUAUAGGAUUUAUUAAAGAUCCUUCUGACUCUUAAUUUCCAGUGGUCAGAUUAAAAAUAGUUUGCUAAUAAUGGCUAUGUUAAAGAGCUCUGACCUUGGAGUCAAUUUAUGGCUCCACAUCCAAGCUCUACCAUUCACUAGUUUUGCUUUUCACCCAACCCCUCUGUGCCUCGGUUUCCUUUUCUGUUAAAUGGGGAUAUCUGUUCUGUUUGCCUCUGAGGGUUUUGUGAACAUUAAAUGUGUGUGGGAGGACUUUUUAAACUUAAAGUGCUAUAUACAUUUUAAGAGGUGUUAGUUACUGCUCCGUUGUUGGUCAGCUGAGAUAAAUCUUCAGUGUUCCCUGGAUCCUGGCUCUGGAGUGAAGAAGGUAGCUUGGCAGUUGACUUUGAGUCCUCCCGUUUCGCUGGGCAUUGGCAGUUCUGGGAGCAGAGCAGCCUUGGCAUGCCAUGGGG
rnacentral:lncRNA from 1 species